GUGGGGAGAAGGUGUUCUGAGAUUUGUUCGUAUUUCUCAUUACCCUGCUCUGAUCUGAAUGGUAUCACAGUAGUUUUCCCCCAGUUGAGUCUGUUUCGCCCGUGACAGCGAUGGUAGGAGCGAUCUCCCUGUCCUGUCCCGACCCACCAGCCUGGUGCUGUGCUCCCUCUCCCCUGCCCGGCUGAGGAGGGCACUGACAGAGCUUGGGUGGGCACCAGGCCCCCAGCCAGGGUCAGCUCCCCACAGAAGAGUAGGUCAGAUUUGCACUGCAUGAUGGAAGUGACUAUAAAUAGCUCUUAUAGCUCUGUGGCAAUACAUCAAGAUUCUGCUUUUAAAAACACUGCCAGAUCCUGUCUCUGUAGUAUGCAAAGUCUGAUAUUUGUUUAUAAGAGCAACAAAAGAGCCAUCUUCUACUUCUCCAGCUAUGGUGUUUCAAAGAUAACUUUUUUUCCCCUCCUGUUUACUUGUGUCCUCCCCAACGAACUUUACAGGAGUGAUUUACUACCUCGUGCAGUCUCUCUGUAACUCAGAUUGUGUGUGUGGUGGAGGAAGCUUGUGGAAGACAUUGAGUAUACAGGUGCUUUCCAGUACCCAGCCUCUCAUGACAUUGCUUUUGCUGAGGAUUAUUUUCCAGCACACUGGCAUCCCAUCAAUAGGAUGUGGGAGAAAAAAAAGUUCAAUAACAUCACAGUUAUAUUUUCCUUUUGGGUAGAGAAGAAGAUUCAGCAGAGGUAGUACCUGGUGCUACUUAAUAUUUUUGACCUUAGGUUAGGUUAAGGUUUUAACUUGAGGUUAAAGAUUUCAGAUUAUGAUUGUCCUUUAAAAUGUGAUAAAAUGAUGCUGGGUGUGUAUCCAGCUCCACCAAAGUUUGAGUCAGAAUGUUAACAGCAUCAGUAGUGCUUUCCAUUUCUCUGUUAGGUCCUGAGAGAUUAUAAUUUCAAGAGGAAGAAGUUAAAAGUUAUAUUUUACUAAAAGAGUUCGGUCAUUUGAAAAUUUAUCCUGUAGUAAUUAAUAAGAGCUGCACCACAAUUUAGGGUGCCAUAGACAUAAUUCACAAUACAGCAAAAAUACACUUGGCCUUCAGCAAACAUUAAAGCACACAUUGUAGACAAAUUAAUUUUAGAUUAAGGAAAUUAAUCUAUGCUGUCUAGACUUCCUUUCCCACAUGACUCCAGUACAGAAAGCUUUAACCAGCACUGACCCAGCUUGCACAGUAAAUGCUGAAUAAUUCCGAGUGUUCAUUGAUGCCUGUAUGCCAUCUGCAGGAACUGAGCAAAGGCCAUCUUCUCAUUUUGUGCAAAGUCCAGUAUAGGUGACUUUUUAUGACUAACCCAGUCUGAUCAAGAAAUGGGAUUCUUUUUUUCUCCCCUGCACCCCCAUUUUAUUUUUCUGAAAUUGAAAGAGACGGUGACUCAUUAAUUCUUUCAAACACAUUUAAUUCUUACCAUUUUGCAAAGCUUGUAGAUCUGUAGCUUUAUUAGUCAUAAUGUGAAUGAUCAAUGAAGACACAAAAUAAUUCUACAAAGCCUUUGGUUUUGUCCCUUACGAAUUGUUCAGCUACCUUUGUAAACAUCAAGAUUUUUAACCUGGCUACUGCAGCUGUGCUGUGCAAGUGAGACCUAAGGCUACCCAGGCACUAAUGGCUCAUUCCUAUCUUUCUUACCCCUUCAGCUUUCAGCCCGUAUGUUCUUAGAUUUCUACUGUAGUACAAUGGAAACUAUAUGAACUGUGGUUACGCAGCGGGAGAAAACAUGCUAUGCUGACAUGAUAAAAUAAUGAAGAACAUGAGUGGGAUCAAUUACCACCAGGAAAGACUGGCAAGAAAUACAGUCUCUGUUCAGUGCAGCUUCUUGAUAGAUUUUCAGGCUGAAGGGUCUUUGUGGAUAAAAAUGGGAAUAAAGUUCCUUUUGUUCAGUAUAUGAGAGAAUAACAUGCCCUGUGGGAUGCAGAAUUUUCAAAGACUUUUAUAUAGACUUCUUAAAAAUAUUGUUAAAUGGAAGAACUUAAAUAUCUUCACAUCACAGGAUCUUUUCUUUUUUGGUUUUAUGAUGUAUGCUUUCCUGUCCCUUUUCCAAAGAAUUAUGGACCUGAUAAUUUGUCAAGUUGUAAAUAUUGGGCAGCAUACUAACAUUUUUGUCUGGGACUGUGGAGAAGGAGAUCUUUAUAAAUGCUGCCUAUUUUAGUGUAGCCCUAUUACUUGUCUCUGUCCUACUACUGUUGGACUUACCUGGCUGUAAUGGUCUCUGGGACCAGUCAGGAGAAUUCCUUCCCUGCUUUUCAUGCAAAUAAAUAGGAGUUGUUUAAAAAUAGUUCAUGUGUAUGUCAGACAUCAGUGUUAGAAAUCAGACCUCCGAUCUGUUGCAGCUACUAGAAGGAUUAAAACUGGUGCCCAUAUGUUUGAAUCAAGCUCAAAGAUCUCCCUCAAAAAACCCCUAAAAUUACUAAUAUGUAAAGCAUAAAGAUUAAAAAGGCUGUAGGAAAUUCUGUGCUAAAAUGAUGAGGAAGUCCCCAUAUAAUCUACUCUGCAAUUUACUGUAUGCACCUGGUAUAAGUAAUCAUCCGAUAGUCAGCUGCAGGAAGGCAGUAUGAUUCUCAGCCAAUUUCCACUUUGCUAAUAAUAAAAACAUUUAUUACACUUUCAGCCUUGAGCUGGUAUGUAAAUGCUGCAAGUUUCACCCCAUUUUCUGUGGCUUUAUUCCUGCAAACGAACCACUUUAUUUUAGUUAUGGCUCUGAAAUUUUAUCUGCUUCUUCUGUUCAGGGUGAUUAUGCCUUUCUAAUAUUUUGAAAGUUUUAUGCUGUGUAGUGAAGACAGUGGUUUGGCUUGUGCUCUGAGUAUGCAACUUUGUCUUUUGAUUGUUUUUCAUUGUUUUCUUUGGCAUAUUUAGUAUUAAAAAAAGUGGUCAGAUUCAUAUUCUUAGCAUAAAGCGUUUGUCACUGUUGCAUAUGAAAUUUUCAUGAAUGCGCUAAGGAAACGUGUCAUCUUUAAAAAACAGUCAAAGAGUAGCUGUAAAGGUUUACCGUCAAGGCAGAACGAUAUAUCAAGAUGGGCUUUGCGAAGGUCUGUGCUUUCUGAAAUACUGUUCCUUAUUUUCAUCUAUGACUAUGAUAGAAAGAAAUAACCGCAUUAAACUUGCAGAUGACACCAACCAGAGAUUGACUGGAAAUGUGUUGAAGGAUCAGGGUUGCAGUUCUAAAUGACCUUGGCAAAUAGGAGAAAUGGUAAAAAUGUAAAAAAUUCUUUAAUGCUUUAAUGAGUCUGGUGACCUGUUCAUCUAGCCUAAUGCUCAGGCUCCAGCAGCAAUGUAGUAAAAGCAUCUAAGCCAAACCACUCUCUGCAGUUUGACUCCAUCAUAUUUCUUUAGCAACCACAGUCAUGGCACCAGGGUUUCCUGUGGGAUGCUGCAGCUCGGCAGCUGUUUGAGUGCAAGAUAGAGAAAGGACCGCCCGCGUGGGGUGGGCUUGGUGCUGAUCACAGGCUGAAUCUGAGCCUGUGCUGGCAGACUUUUGGGCUCAGGGCUGACAUUGCUUUCAGCUGAGCCCAAAGAGAAGCCUAACCUGCAGAAAAGAUCAAAUAGUCCUUCUGCUCCUGUUGAUGGAGUAAGGCUUCCAGAGCAUGUGUCAAUUUUGGGCACUAUACAUGAAGAAAGACUACAAAGUGCCCAUUGGAAAGCACUGUGCAUGAUCACUAGUCUAGAAACAGUGAAUGAUUCAAGUGCAGGGAGCAGGGGGAGCGAGAGGAGGAACCGUUUGUUUCCACGUUCAUGGUGGAUACAUCACUAUACAAAAGCAUGUGAACCUAUGUGAACAGGUUUUCUUAAUGCUGUUCAGAAUAGGUAAAAAUUGGAGCUCAGAUAAACUAUAAAAUGUUUCAAAUUAAAAGGAAGAUUUUAAGACCUGAGGUGAGCCAUGUUUUAAUAUCAACAACUUUACAAGCUGCACUGGAUUUUUUUCCUCCCAGAUACCAACUGCUGCUGCGUUUCAAACAUUUCCCAAGAUUAGUAAUACUUAGAGCUGUACAAAAGCCAUUUUCAGCUUUUGGCAUGUGUCAUUACAGAGUACAUUGGCAAAUGUCAAGGGGGAAAGGUUACUCCUGCAGUAGCUGAAAGACUAAGCUCUUGGCUGCAUCAAGAUGCCACUGAAGGGCUGGGAACUUGGAGCCUUUCUUCUCUGAAACAUGAGUGGUGCUGCUAUAUCCUUCACCCCAGCUGUGGAGCCUGCUCAGGGUGAAAGGAAUAUUGGGACAAUUUUGCUGCCAAACUGAAAAAAAUGUCUGUGGAGCAUCUGCAAGGUGAUAUUUUCCAAAGCUGUAAGCACUGGCCAAACUUGACAAGUUUCACAGGAAUAGCCAGUGUACGUUCCUAAGAUGUGACCAACUUACAUGCCAAAAUUGACACUUGAAAGAAUAAAAGCACUGAAGCUACUCCACUAA